CAGUCGCCGCGGUAAUACGGAGGGUGCAAGCGUUAAUCGGAAUUACUGGGCGUAAAGCGCACGCAGGCGGUCUGUCAAGUCGGAUGUGAAAUCCCUGAGCUUAACUUAGGAAUUGCAUUCGAUACUGGGAAGCUAGAGUAUGGGAGAGGAUGGUAGAAUUCCAGGUGUAGCGGUGAAAUGCGUAGAGAUCUGGAGGAAUACCGAUGGCGAAGGCAGCCAUCUGGCCUAAUACUGACGCUGAGGUACGAAAGCAUGGGGAGCAAACAGGAUUAGAUACCCCCGUAGUCCCUGUCUCUUAUAC
rnacentral:rRNA from 1 species